rnacentral:misc_RNA from 1 species
GAUGAAGAACGCAGCGAAAUGCGAUAAGUAAUGUGAAUUGCAGAAUUCAGUGAAUCAUCGAAUCUUUGAACGCACAUUGCGCCCGCCAGUAUUCUGGCGGGCAUGCCUGUCUGAGCGUCAUUUCAACCCUCAUGCCCCUAGGGCGUGGUGUUGGGGAUCGGCCAAAGCCCGCAAGGGACGGCCGGCCCCUAAAUCUAGUGGCGGACCCGUCGUGGCCUCCCCUGCGAAGUAGUGAUAUUCCGCAUAGGAGAAGCGACGAGCCCCUGCCGUUAAACCCCCAACUUUCUCAGGUUGACCUCAGAUCAGGUAGUAAUACCCGCUGAACUUAAGCAUAUCAAUAAGCGGAGGA